rnacentral:lncRNA from 1 species
GUUUCCUUGUACUGAGCUUAUGUUCUCCACCCACUACUUAGUAAGAACUCCUUAACAACUUAAAGCUUUAUCCCUGUGAGUACCAGAAAAGUGAUCUGAGUAUUUAUUGAGCAGGAAGAACAAACUGCUUGCUCCAGGCAGGGAGAAAGCUUAUGGAAAUGAUAUUAGACCUUCAGCAAAGUGCACAGCUGCAUCAUACAGAAGCUGAGACUCAAACUGACAGGCAAAUAAGCCAGAUCACGGAAGGGGCCUCUGUGUGGCAGCUCUGAGCUACCAAGUGUUGGACAACUAGGCAAAAAGUGCAAUGGAACAGGGCAGAAAAUAACACACUAACUUCAGGCAACUGUUGCUUAUUCAUGGAUUGGAAAUAAACAAUUUCCAUAGAUAUCAGCUUCUGUCUGCUGUGAUGCUCCACUCUGAGUGAUGCCACGUUCAGCACUGAGUAGGACUGGCAGAGGAGAGCAGCUUCUCAGAAUGAGGUGUGCUGCUGCCAUUCCAGCUCACUGCAGGACUGUGUUUGCUGCUCCACAAGCUGCAGAGCAAGAGAAACCAACUUGAGGAGCAUGCAUAUUGUGAUACCCUCAGUGGUUUCUUUUACAAUGUGUUCUGCUCCAGCUAGUGAAUUUUGUUUAACUGACCAGGUAAGCAAAUAUGCAUAGUCUUUUUUUUUUUUUUUUCCCAGAAAAAAAUGUUUUACAGACAUUUGACAACUAAUUCU